rnacentral:tRNA from 1 species
GGACUGGUUAGCUUGGUCAGUUGAGUGUAGCACUAACAACACUAAGGUUGUGGGUUUGAUUCCCAUUCAGUCCC